rnacentral:rRNA from 1 species
GAAUUUUGGACAAUGGGCGAAAGCCUGAUCCAGCAAUGCCGCGUGCAGGGAGAAGGCCUUCGGGUUUUAAACUGCUUUUGUACGGGACGAAAAAGUUUGGGUUACUACCCGGGAGCGCUGGCGGUACCGUAAGACUAAGCACCGGCCAAAUACGUAGCCGCCGCCGCGGUCAUAGGUAGGGUGCAAGGGUUACACGGUAUUACUGGGCGUCAAGCGUGCGGAGGCGGUUUUGUAAGACAGAGGUGGAAUCCCCGGGCUCAACCUGGGAACGGCCUUUGUGACUGAAAGGCUAAGGUACGGCAGCGGGGGGUGGAAUUCGGCGUGUAGCAGUGAAAGGCGUAGAUAUGCGGAGGAACACCAAUGGCGAAGGCAACCCCCUGGGCCUGUACUGACGCUCAUGCACGAAAGCGUGGGGAGCAAACA